GGGUUGUGAGGUUAAGCGACUAAGCGUACACGGUGGAUGCCCUGGCAGUCAGAGGCGAUGAAGGACGUGCUAAUCUGCGAUAAGCGUCGGUAAGGUGAUAUGAACCGUUAUAACCGGCGAUUUCCGAAUGGGGAAACCCAGUGUGUUUCGACACACUAUCAUUAACUGAAUCCAUAGGUUAAUGAGGCGAACCGGGGGAACUGAAACAUCUAAGUACCCCGAGGAAAAGAAAUCAACCGAGAUUCCCCCAGUAGCGGCGAGCGAACGGGGAGCAGCCCAGAGCCUGAAUCAGUGUGUGUGUUAGUGGAAGCGUCUGGAAAGGCGCGCGAUACAGGGUGACAGCCCCGUACACAAAAAUGCACAUGCUGUGAGCUCGAUGAGUAGGGCGGGACACGUGGUAUCCUGUCUGAAUAUGGGGGGACCAUCCUCCAAGGCUAAAUACUCCUGACUGACCGAUAGUGAACCAGUACCGUGAGGGAAAGGCGAAAAGAACCCCGGCGAGGGGAGUGAAAAAGAACCUGAAACCGUGUACGUACAAGCAGUGGGAGCACGCUUAGGCGUGUGACUGCGUACCUUUUGUAUAAUGGGUCAGCGACUUAUAUUCUGUAGCAAGGUUAACCGAAUAGGGGAGCCGAAGGGAAACCGAGUCUUAACUGGGCGUUAAGUUGCAGGGUAUAGACCCGAAACCCGGUGAUCUAGCCAUGGGCAGGUUGAAGGUUGGGUAACACUAACUGGAGGACCGAACCGACUAAUGUUGAAAAAUUAGCGGAUGACUUGUGGCUGGGGGUGAAAGGCCAAUCAAACCGGGAGAUAGCUGGUUCUCCCCGAAAGCUAUUUAGGUAGCGCCUCGUGAAUUCAUCUCCGGGGGUAGAGCACUGUUUCGGCAAGGGGGUCAUCCCGACUUACCAACCCGAUGCAAACUGCGAAUACCGGAGAAUGUUAUCACGGGAGACACACGGCGGGUGCUAACGUCCGUCGUGAAGAGGGAAACAACCCAGACCGCCAGCUAAGGUCCCAAAGUCAUGGUUAAGUGGGAAACGAUGUGGGAAGGCCCAGACAGCCAGGAUGUUGGCUUAGAAGCAGCCAUCAUUUAAAGAAAGCGUAAUAGCUCACUGGUCGAGUCGGCCUGCGCGGAAGAUGUAACGGGGCUAAACCAUGCACCGAAGCUGCGGCAGCGACGCUUAUGCGUUGUUGGGUAGGGGAGCGUUCUGUAAGCCUGUGAAGGUGUGCUGUGAGGCAUGCUGGAGGUAUCAGAAGUGCGAAUGCUGACAUAAGUAACGAUAAAGCGGGUGAAAAGCCCGCUCGCCGGAAGACCAAGGGUUCCUGUCCAACGUUAAUCGGGGCAGGGUGAGUCGACCCCUAAGGCGAGGCCGAAAGGCGUAGUCGAUGGGAAACAGGUUAAUAUUCCUGUACUUGGUGUUACUGCGAAGGGGGGACGGAGAAGGCUAUGUUGGCCGGGCGACGGUUGUCCCGGUUUAAGCGUGUAGGCUGGUUUUCCAGGCAAAUCCGGAAAAUCAAGGCUGAGGCGUGAUGACGAGGCACUACGGUGCUGAAGCAACAAAUGCCCUGCUUCCAGGAAAAGCCUCUAAGCAUCAGGUAACAUCAAAUCGUACCCCAAACCGACACAGGUGGUCAGGUAGAGAAUACCAAGGCGCUUGAGAGAACUCGGGUGAAGGAACUAGGCAAAAUGGUGCCGUAACUUCGGGAGAAGGCACGCUGAUAUGUAGGUGAAGUCCCUCGCGGAUGGAGCUGAAAUCAGUCGAAGAUACCAGCUGGCUGCAACUGUUUAUUAAAAACACAGCACUGUGCAAACACGAAAGUGGACGUAUACGGUGUGACGCCUGCCCGGUGCCGGAAGGUUAAUUGAUGGGGUUAGCGCAAGCGAAGCUCUUGAUCGAAGCCCCGGUAAACGGCGGCCGUAACUAUAACGGUCCUAAGGUAGCGAAAUUCCUUGUCGGGUAAGUUCCGACCUGCACGAAUGGCGUAAUGAUGGCCAGGCUGUCUCCACCCGAGACUCAGUGAAAUUGAACUCGCUGUGAAGAUGCAGUGUACCCGCGGCAAGACGGAAAGACCCCGUGAACCUUUACUAUAGCUUGACACUGAACAUUGAGCCUUGAUGUGUAGGAUAGGUGGGAGGCUUAGAAGUGUGGACGCCAGUCUGCAUGGAGCCGACCUUGAAAUACCACCCUUUAAUGUUUGAUGUUCUAACGUUGACCCGUAAUCCGGGUUGCGGACAGUGUCUGGUGGGUAGUUUGACUGGGGCGGUCUCCUCCUAAAGAGUAACGGAGGAGCACGAAGGUUGGCUAAUCCUGGUCGGACAUCAGGAGGUUAGUGCAAUGGCAUAAGCCAGCUUGACUGCGAGCGUGACGGCGCGAGCAGGUGCGAAAGCAGGUCAUAGUGAUCCGGUGGUUCUGAAUGGAAGGGCCAUCGCUCAACGGAUAAAAGGUACUCCGGGGAUAACAGGCUGAUACCGCCCAAGAGUUCAUAUCGACGGCGGUGUUUGGCACCUCGAUGUCGGCUCAUCACAUCCUGGGGCUGAAGUAGGUCCCAAGGGUAUGGCUGUUCGCCAUUUAAAGUGGUACGCGAGCUGGGUUUAGAACGUCGUGAGACAGUUCGGUCCCUAUCUGCCGUGGGCGCUGGAGAACUGAGGGGGGCUGCUCCUAGUACGAGAGGACCGGAGUGGACGCAUCACUGGUGUUCGGGUUGUCAUGCCAAUGGCACUGCCCGGUAGCUAAAUGCGGAAGAGAUAAGUGCUGAAAGCAUCUAAGCACGAAACUUGCCCCGAGAUGAGUUCUCCCUGACCCUUUAAGGGUCCUGAAGGAACGUUGAAGACGACGACGUUGAUAGGCCGGGUGUGUAAGCGCAGCGAUGCGUUGAGCUAACCGGUACUAAUGAACCGUGAGGCUUAACCUUACAACGCCGAAGCUGUU
rnacentral:rRNA from 1 species